rnacentral:rRNA from 1 species
GACGGAGGGGGCAAGCGUUGUCCGGAAUCACUGGGCGUAAAGGGCGCGGAGGCGGUCUGCGGCGUCGGCGCUGAAAGCGCCCCGCUUAACGGGGCGAGGCGUGCCGAUACGCGCAGACUUGAGGCGAGCAGAGGGUGGUGGAAUUCCGGGUGGAGCGGUGAAAUGCGUAGAGAUCCGGAGGAACGCAAGUGGGGAAGCCGGCCACCUGGGCUCGUCCUGACGCUGCGGCGCGACAGCGUGGGGAGCAAACCGG